CAGCCGCCGCGGGAAUACAGAGGGUGCGAGCGUUAAUCGGAUUUACUGGGCGUAAAGCGUGCGUAGGCGGCUUUUUAAGUCGGAUGUGAAAUCCCUGAGCUUAACUUAGGAAUUGCAUUCGAUACUGGGAAGCUAGAGUAUGGGAGAGGAUGGUAGAAUUCCAGGUGUAGCGGUGAAAUGCGUAGAGAUCUGGAGGAAUACCGAUGGCGAAGGCAGCCAUCUGGCCUAAUACUUACGCUGAGGUACGAAAGCAUGGGGAGCAAACAGGAUUAGAUACCCCGGUAGUCCCUGUCUCUUAUAC
rnacentral:rRNA from 1 species